GUGACAAAGUGCGAAAAGUUCAUUCAUGGUUUUUCUGCUUGGAGGAGAUUCGAAGGAUUGGGGUUGCUGCAUCCUCCACGAUUUGAAUUUCUUCUCCGUCUUCCCCUUAGCAAAGUGUUUUCAUUCCCAUCACAAGAAAAGCGAAUGUUCUCUGCUUCCCUGCAUUGGCCCAGACCAUGAGGAUUUAGCUUGCUUGAAGUCAAAACAGCAGUUGACUUGUAAUGAAGAGAUCAGCCAUUCCUCUGUCUCUGUGCUUCUAAAUGCUGAAAAUAUGGCCCCUCAAGUGUCAGCAGACUGUCAUUAUGUCUCAUUAUUCAAGAUUCAAGAUCCUGAGUAUCAUUUUCCUGCAGAAGAAUGGGAAUCAACUGACUUAUGCCUCCUCAGAGCCAGAGACUUGGGUGGACUCCAGAGUAAAAUAUUUGCAUACACACAUGGGACACAAAAGGAGAAGGCUGACUACAUAUGAGGAGACUAUGGUCUAAUGAAUUCAGAAAGAGUGGGCCUUGAGAAGAGCCGACUGAGUUGCUCACAGAGUGGAAAGACGCAACUGAGUGUGGCAAAAGAGGAGGAAUUUCCGAGCCGAGUCACAUCAAAGAAUGUUUGAGGAUGAUUUAGCACUUGGAACACUUCAAAAAGUGUGACGUGAGCUGUUCUUUUCACCCCAGCCUCAAACGUACAUCCAAUAUUCUUGGAUAAGCUUUCAUAUGCAAAGCAAAAAAAAGGAAAAGUGGCUUUCCCAUUAAAUGCAUUGUUAUUCUUUGCCUUUCAUACAUCUGGGGCCUGAAAGUACAGAAGGGAGAGAAAUGGAAUGUCAAAGAUUUGCCUGUCUUUUAUUUUAAAUUUUUUUUUCAUGGAUCCAAAGUUCUUGUUAACCCUCUGACACUCAAACGUAGGUUGUGACUGUUAAAGACUAUGGUUACAAAUGCUUGUCUUGUUCUUUCACUGAACAAAUUUGCUGAUUAUUUGACCGUGGUUUGCAAUUCUUUAAAAGAAUGAAUGAGCAUGGUAAACACUUGAAUGAAGGUAUCUGAAUAAAGUGCCCCUCAGGAUGGCUAAGACUAUAAGCUUGCAAUGGUUUGCUGAACAGACGCAUAGGAAGGAGUCCCUGCUUGUCCUUCGAAGUUCACUGGCGUGCCUCUAUCACACUGAAGACAUUUGACAGCUGAAAUGUGACAUGCAAUUAUUUCCUUUCUUCCUUUCCUUAAAAAAAAUUGUGGUUGAAAUCUAUCAUUCUAUGUCUUGACCUUGUAGAGAAUACAUUAAAUGCAUAAACCUUGAACAGAAGGUGGCGCUCCAAAUAAACCAAGCAAGAUUGUGAGACUCUGUUUAAGUUUUGUGCCUAAUUUAUUCAUACUAAGGCGAUACUAAGGAUGCUAAAUGUGUCCUUUCCAGUGCUCAGGUAUUGAAAACUUAAUCCUAA
rnacentral:lncRNA from 1 species